rnacentral:rRNA from 1 species
AACGAACGCUGGCGGCGCGUCUUAAGCAUGCAAGUCGAACGAUCUGUAGCAAUACAGGGAGUGGCGGACGGGUGAGGAACACGUAGGAAUCUACCUUGAAGAGCGGGACAACUUUGGGAAACCGGGGCUAAUACCGCAUAGUACAGAGAUGUUAAAGGGCUAGCAAUAGUCGCUUCGAGAUGAGCCUGCGGUCUAUCAGCUUGUUGGUGAGGUAAUGGCUCACCAAGGCUACGACGGAUAGCCGGUCUGAGAGGAUGAUCGGCCACACUGGCACUGAGACACGGGCCAGACUCCUACGGGAGGCAGCAGUUAAGAAUCUUGCGCAAUGGGGAAACCCUGACGCAGCGACGCCGCGUGAAGGAUGAAGGCUUUCGGGUUGUAAACUUCGGUAGACUGGGAAGAAGAAAUAACGUUCGUUAGAGGGCGAUAUAGUGACGGUACCAGUCUGAAGCCCCGGCUAAGUUACGUGCCAGCAGCC